AUGUAGCUGAGGACUAUCACUCAUCGGAGGAGCUAUUAAUAGCGUGGAGGAACGCUGCUCGGUGCACACGACCUUGGAACGGCCUACCCUGUAGCGCCUUACCCUGGAACGGCUUACCCUGUAGCGGCUGCCGGUGGACUACCAAACUCUUGUUAUUUUAUUGUAAUCUGAGCGUCUUAUUUUAAUAAGUCAAAACUUUCAACAACGGAUCUCUUGGUUCUGGCAUCGAUGAAGAACGCAGCGAAAUGCGAUAAGUAAUGUGAAUUGCAGAAUUCAGUGAAUCAUCGAAUCUUUGAACGCACAUUGCGCCCAUUAGUAUUCUAGUGGGCAUGCCUGUUCGAGCGUCAUUUCAACCCUUAAGCCUAGCUUAGUGUUGGGAGCCUACUGCUUUUACUAGCUGUAGCUCCUGAAAUACAACGGCGGAUCUGCGAUAUCCUCUGAGCGUAGUAAUUUUUAUCUCGCUUUUGACUGGAGUUGCAGCGUCUUUAGCCGCUAAAUCCCCCAAUUUUUAAUGGUUGACCUCGGAUCAGGUAGGAAUACCCGCUGAACUUAAGCAUAUCAAUAAGCGGAGGAAA
rnacentral:rRNA from 1 species